UACGUAGGGUGCAAGCGUUAAUCGGAAUUACUGGGCGUAAAGCGUGCGCAGGCGGUUGUGCAAGACAGAUGUGAAAUCCCCGGGCUCAACCUGGGAAUUGCAUUUGUGACCGUACGGCUAGAGUGUGUCAGAGGGGGGUAGAAUUCCACGUGUAGCAGUGAAAUGCGUAGAGAUGUGGAGGAAUACCGAUGGCGAAGGCAGCCCCCUGGGAUAACACUGACGCUCAUGCACGAAAGCGUGGGGAGCAAACAGG
rnacentral:rRNA from 1 species